rnacentral:rRNA from 1 species
UACGUAGGUGGCAAGCGUUGUCCGGAUUUACUGGGCGUAAAGAGCGCGCAGGCGGUCGUCCAAGUCGCGUGUGAAAGCCCCCGGCUCAACUGGGGAGGGUCACGCGAUACUGGUCGACUCGAAGGCAGGAGAGGGUAGUGGAAUUCCCGGUGUAGCGGUGAAAUGCGUAGAUAUCUGGAGGAACACCGGUGGCGAAGGCGGCAUCCUGGACCGGCAUUGACGCUGAGGCGCGAAAGCCAGGGGAGCAAACGGG